rnacentral:lncRNA from 1 species
GUCUUUGCGCAGGUCCCCUGGCCGGUGCCGGAACGCGCUGAGUCGCCCUGCACUACUACCCUGUGCCAGGUGACAGGUUUGAGCACACGUUCCUUUGAUCACUUCGUUUUCUAAUUUUUAAAGAUGUGCUUUACAAAUAUAACUAUCCCGACUAGCAGGCAUAUGUGAAACAAAUAGUUUUAUAGGUGACUUUAAUUCUGUCAUGUUCAAAAUAGGUUCCUCUGUGAGUAGUAAUAAGGAAUAAAUUACUGAAUCCGUUACUUUCUCAGGAGUUUCAAAAUGCUGGCAUGCUGUCUCUGUAUUGCUAAAUAUUAAUUUGCCGGCUGAGGUGCUUCUCGUGUUGUUUAUAUUGUCAACUUGAAAGGAUCUAGAAUCAUCUAGGAGAGAGCCUCUAGACAUGUAUGUGAAAUUUAUCUAGAUUAGAUUACUUGAGCUAUGGAGACCCCCAGUAACUGUGGGUGGCAGCAUUCCACAGACUGGUAACCCUGGUUGCAUAAAAAAGGAUAACUCAGACUGAAUUCCAGCAUUCACUUCAAAGAACCCAUCGAGGUCACAGUGUGGGAAGGUACACGUGACUAGUCUGAUGAGGGCCCUCCCUUGUGGUUACGAAUGAGAGAAGACAGGGUAAAGAGAUUCCAGGUUCUGUCAAGAGUCCUGCAGGCCUUCUUUUUCCUUGUAGUUGCUCACAAGGGGAUGAAGGCAAGAUAAGGAAGAUAAAACCAAUCCAAACCCCAGAGGACUCUAGAGAAGGAAGAUACUACAAUAUAGAUUUUCGUUGUUAUUGUCUAAUAGAACACGUUUAGACUGACCUAGACCCUAAAAUAAUGCCUGAUAUUUUUCUAUAGUUAAGCCUGGCCUAAACAUAAACUAGAGGACAGAGCAAGUGGCCGCUGGUGGCGAAUAUUAAUUAACAUGUUGUAUUUUCAUAGGUGAGAGGGUGUUUUUCAGCAGGUUUUUCAGGUUGUCUACUUCCAGGUGUAGACAUACACUAAUUGCAGGUAUAGGCCUUCAAGCAGUUGGGCCCUCACCCCCAAGUAGAGCCAGAGCGUUUUCCAAGUUCCGUAUGGGAAAAGCCAGGUGUUUUUGUUGGUUUUGAUCAUGGCUUCUGGAAGUCAUAUGGCAUGACCUUUACAAAAUAUAAAGACAUCAAAUUCCCUGGUAAUACCGUGAGGGGAGAAAAUCAUUACCCCCUGUCAGUCCUCAGUCCCAAUACACAGCCCAGCAAGCGGCUGUGUGCCUUCUCUCUUAUUUCUCUGAUCCUUCAGGAACAGUUAUUUUUUUCAGUUUUACAGUGGUGGACCAAAUUCCUUCUGUUCGUCAGGUUUCUUGCACUAUUUAAAUUCAGUGAGAAGCUGGGUCUAGAGGUGGGAUUUUCCUGUAGAUACAUUUUUUUUUUAAAUCUUAAAUUGCCCUCUGACUGAAACAUCAUGAUUUGUAUCAUGCUGGUCUCCUAACUUUGUAUUCAGAGAAAGGAGAACAGCAAAAUAGCCCAAGGUAAAAAGCAUUAGGUUCUUGAAAAGAGCUGAAGAGUAAACUAUUCCCAAAAGAGAGUACAAUUGUUUACCCCUUGAAAUAAGAACAGCUUCAGUACCCUGAGCUAGCACCGAUUUGAAUAUAAGCUCCCUGAGGACUAGGUUUCUUGGUACCUGAAGGCACCAUGUAAGCUUCCAGAGAAGGGAACAACAGUCCUUUCCGGCUAUGCCACCUUUGAACCACAUCCACCAGCACAGCCUGGUAAUCAGAGUUCAGUAUGACAAGUAUGCCUUGGACUUCAUUGGACUAAUUUGACUUAAGACCUGCUCAACAAGAGGGAAGCCAUGCCUCAUGGAAACCAACCUAACUACUCAGUGCUACUUAAGUUGUGGUUGUUGGAGGAGAGUCUACAACCAUUAAUUUACUAAGCCAGCAUAACCCCCAGCAAUAUAAAUACUUGUACCCUCAGAUGAGUAUAGUCUUUACCCCUCAUCAAGGAAACUUUUCUUUGCAACAGGUGGAGCCACUAAGAAACCCACAGUCUAUCAGUAUUCAGAGUAUGGAGCUCAGUCCCAAGGGAUCUGGCUACAAAAUACUCCCACACCUCAGGCUCAGAGAAAAUUGAGGAGGAAGGGGUGGAAAGAUUUUGAGAGGCAGAGAAUCAGGAAGUAUGGUGUGAGAUUCUGUCUCCUAGUAAUGCCAGAAUGUAAUCUCACCAACAUGACUGCCCAAGAAUGAACAAGGAUGACAUCGGUGGACAUGGCAAAGUGGGAAGAGAAGAGAGCAUUAGGCCUCCACUCCACAUAAAGAACUACAGGUAUCUGAGGAGAGCUGGGAAUCAGAGAGGUGGUCCUUCCCAAGGAAGGGUACAUGAGUUGGUUGUCCAGUACCAAAUAGUCCUGAAAACAUAAUACAAGUAACAUGAACUAAAGAGGCUAUAUUUUGGAAUAUAUAUGUAUUUUGUACAUAUAUGCAUGCAAUAACAACUUAUGAAAAAAUCCAUGAAUUUGAUGGAGAGCAAAGAAGGUUAUAUUAGAAGGGUUUUGAGGGAGAAAUGAAAAGGGAGAAAUGUAAUUAUUGCUAACCUACCCUGGUCAGAGAGACUAAGUCUUUGCAUAUUGAAGGUUAUGUGAAAAGAUUUAUAUGGGAUGUCCAGGGGACUCCAGGUUUAAGAGUAAUUAAAACAAAGCACUUUUCAAAAAAGCAAGCAAGACAUGAGGUAACAUUUAUAGUUACCUUAAGCAAAUACAAGUGCAUUGAGAGAAUAACACCUGGUGUUAUAUCUUAUCACCUUUGGCCACCUGACAAGGGCCAAGAGUAUUCUCCCAGACCUUUGUCAUUCCCACACAGAUAUUGUGCACAUGCCAGGGUAUCCCCUUCAUGUCCUUGCUUUCAAGUGCUUUCACUUAUCAUAGUUCAUGCAAUUCUUUCUAGAAGGAAGCCUUGUGAAAGAACAUUCUGCACUCCACCCAUCAUUCACAGUAAGUUUACAGUUUUUGUACAUAGGCUCCCACAAUUAUAAUCUCAAAAAUAAAUUACAAAAAGAAAUACAAAUAGCUAGUAAGAUACUUCUUUUUUUUUUUUUUGAAACAGUGUUUCACUAUAUAGCUCAAACUGUUCUGGAAUACACCAGGUAGACCAAGCUUGGCCUUGAACUCAUAGAUCUGCCUCUGACUCCUGAGCACUGAGAUUAAAGGUGCAUACCCCUAUGCUCAUCUAGUAAACAUUUAAAACCUAUUCAAUGUCCUUGGAUAUUAAGUUAACACAGAUUAAAACGAAUUCAAGAUUCUAUUUUGCAGGAUGCCUCUGAUCAGGAAUACAAGUGGCAGGCAAUACUACUGUGGAUGUGCAGAAAGGGGUAUAAACUAGUACAACCACUAUGAAAUCAUCUGGAUGCUUCCCCAAAACUAUAAAUAGAACUACUAUAAUGUAACCCAACAAUACCACUCAUGGGGAGAUAAAGAAAGAACUUUAAUCCUACUGUGGAGAUAACUUGCGCAUCCUUGCUAAUUUCUACUUUAUUCACUAUAGCUAGGAAAUCAUACCAACCUAGAUUUCCAUCAAGUGUUGAAUAGAUCAGGAGAAUGUGGUCCUAUACACAGUUGGAAUGUUACUCAACUGUGUGAGAACAUCUUGGAAUUCACAGAUAAAUGGAUGAAACUU